CAUCGCUAAUUUCUUAAAGAAAUUUUUACUCUCUAAGGCACUUUAUCACUUUACAAUUUCAUCCCAAGUCACAUUCCACUUGAGAGACACAUUCUGAGUGUUUAUUGUCCAUCUUACCCUUCUUUUAAGUUUCAACUCAGAAAUUAUUUUCUAGACGCAAAUAUAAUAUUUUCUAUAAAAUUUUUGUUUAAAGGCGUUAGCUUUAUGAGAGAUGAGAGAUCCAUCAUACAUCUCUCUCCCUCCUUCAACUCUCACUAGUAUGUGGUAAGCAAAGUUAUGGCAGUGCCCACCUCCAUUGUUUUCUGCAUCAAGUUUUCAGGGAUCGUCACUUCCUUCUACACCCAGUUGAUGGCUCUAGUCCCAGAAGAAUCAGUGUUAAAUUUUAUCCGGUAUUGACACAGCGGCGAUUCUUGAUCGGAGCUGUGUCCCCAAUUCAUGGGGAUUCCGACUCUUCCUUUCAGUCUACCAGUCGCGUAUCUUUCGCUUACGCUCAAAAUCUGGUUUUGAGAGGUGGAUUCAGUGGUCUUAGUGCUCUUAAAGCGCUCUGCCAAGUGUUUGCGAAAAUGCCAGUGCUUCUUCCAUCAAAUCUUUAUCUUCCCUAGAAUCCUAGAUGAACCAUAUCUUGGAUAAUAAGAAGAGAACAGAGAAGACAAUUACAACAACAACAAAAAAUACAAAGAUGUAGGACAAGAAGAAGUUAGAUUGACAGUGGAAUGGUUGUUCCCAUGAGAGAAUAUGAGGAUUCAGAAGCACGAUCAGAGAGAGGUUUAGGAGAUCCAGCGAGCGAGAUCUGUACCAGUGACGAGGUUUGUAUUUUCUCAGGUUCAUUAUAAGUGAGAGGAAGCCAUGGACAAUGGGCCUGAGACCAAACCUGGUGGUGGAGACGAGGAAAGUACCGAUCUUUACGGCGGAGAUUCUGUCACAAAGACAACCCCUAGGAAAGUGACGAUCUUUACGUUCACACAUCACCCGUCCACGCAUCACCCGUCCACACAACAAACGUCCACACAUCACUCAUCCAUGCAUCAUCCGUCCACGAAUCUUAAUUGGCCCCGUAUUGUUCACACGACUACUCCAAACGAGUUGUUUGAUGUUAAAGCUUCAGUCUCCUCCUCCUUCUCCAAGGACCUCACACCCUGCUAAUCUACUCCUUUCUCGAUCUGGGUAUCCUUAUUCCGUUUCGUCGAAAGUCGCGAGCUGCCAGCUCAAAGUCGAGGGCUAUAGAGUUUGACGUUCUGAACAUUGGAGCUGGACAGGCUGGUCCACCUGCUGCAAUACGAUCGAAGCAGCUAUGUCAGGAGAAGAACACUGAUCUGUCAAUAUGCGUCGUUGAGAAAGGAGCUAAAGUUGGUCAGCUUUCUAACUCUCUGUUUAUCUAUCUCCUGCUAUGUAAUAUACAUUAAGCUAUGGAGUUUUGGACUUAUAGGAGGACACAUCCACAAACUUUAACGAGGAGCUCUUGGAGAAAAGUGAUGACGAUCGAUCUCGAUCUCUAAUUGCGGGCAUGGUUUCUCCACCGUGUUAACUAUCGGAAUCAUAGGCUUCCCUUCCGUAUUAGUAGCGCCAGAACCAGCUUCAUCUUCUUCACUAGUCUUUUCAAAGUCACUUUGUUACCAUUGAUAUCUUCACUGCCAAGAAGCUCGAAGAUAUUCUUUCUUCCCACAAUUGGGUUUUAAGUCUUAGAACAACAAACUUUAACAAGAUUGGUUUUAUAUAUACGACAUAUAUGAUCUGACUCAGAUUGUUUUUCUCUUUGUUAGGUUCCACAUGUGAACCGUAUUGACUACCAGUUGAUUGAUAUAUCUGAGGAUGGCUUUGUAUGUGGUUGUUUUUCAACACUCGCACUUUUUUUUCUUCCUGGACAUGUUUGAAGUUAGUAAGAAACCUCCAUUUUUAUCAGUGUACACAUUGGCAUCCACAUACGCAACAUAAUAAAAACCUUUGUUCA